UACGUAGGGUGCAAGCGUUGUCCGGAAUUAUUGGGCGUAAAGAGCUCGUAGGCGGUCUGUCGCGUCGGAUGUGAAAACCCAGGACUCAACCCUGGGCCUGCAUUCGAUACGGGCAGACUAGAGUUCGGUAGGGGAGACUGGAAUUCCUGGUGUAGCGGUGAAAUGCGCAGAUAUCAGGAGGAACACCGAUGGCGAAGGCAGGUCUCUGGGCAUUAACUGACGCUGAGGAGCGAAAGCAUGGGGAGCGAACAGG
rnacentral:rRNA from 1 species